UACGUAGGGGGCGAGCGUUGUCCGGAUUCAUUGGGCGUAAAGCGCGCGCAGGCGGCCUGGCAAGUCGGCCGUGAAAUCUCCGGGCUCAGCUCGGAGGGGUCGGGCGAGACUGCGAGGCUGGAGGCGGGUAGAGGGCAGUGGAAUUCCGGGUGUAGUGGUGGAAUGCGUAGAGCUCCGGAGGAACACCAGUGGCGAAGGCGGCUGCCUGGGCCCGGCCUGACGCUGAGGCGCGAAAGCGUGGGGAGCGAUCCGG
rnacentral:rRNA from 1 species